rnacentral:rRNA from 1 species
AUUGAACGCUGCCGGCAGGCCUAACACAUGCAAGUCGAGCGGAGCGGCGGACGGGAGAGUAAUGCCUAGGAAUCUGCCUGGUAGUGGGGCAUAACGUCCGGAAACGGGCGCUAAUACCGGAUCCUAUCAGAUGAGCCUAGGACGGGUUAGCUAGUGGGGGUGUUAAAGGCCUACCAAGGCGACGCUCCGGAACUGGGCUGAGAGGAUGAUCAGUCACAGUGGAAAUGAGACACGGUCCAGACUCCUACGGGAGGCAGCAGUGGGGAAUGUUGGACAAUGGGCGAAAGACUGAUGCAUCAGUGCCGCGUGUGUGAAGAAGGUCUUCGGAUUUUAAAGCACUUUAAGUUGGGAGGCGUUACCAACAGAAGAAGCACCGGCUCACUUCGUGCAAGCCGCCGCGGUAAUAC